UUCGCAAUGCCCGAAAGGGUGACGAAGCGACGCCGCGGGGGUGAAGAAGGCCUUCGGGUUGUAAAGCCCUGUCAGGAGUUAUGAAAUGUAGGUGCGAUAAUACCGUGCCUAUUUGACAAAGGCUCCAAAGGAAGCCACGGCUAACUCUGUGCCAGCAGCCGCGGUAAUACAGAGGUGGCAAGCGUUGUUCGGAAUUAUUGGGCGUAAAGAGCACGUAGGUGGAUUUGUAAGUCAGGUGUGAAAGCCUUCUGUUCAACGGAAGAAUUGCAUCUGAAACUACAAACCUUGAGUGUAGGAGGGGAGAAUGGAACUUCUGGUGGAGCGGUGAAAUGCGUAGAUAUCAGAAGGAACGCCGGCGGCGAAAGCGAUUCUCUGGCCUAUUACUGACACUGAGUGUGCGAAAGCUAGGGGAGCAAACGGGAUUAGAUACCCCGGUAGUCCUAGCCGUAAACGAUGGGCACUAAGUAGAGGGGUUUU
rnacentral:rRNA from 1 species